ACUCCUACGGGAGGCAGCAGUGGGGAAUUUUGGACAAUGGGCGAAAGCCUGAUCCAGCAAUGCCGCGUGAGUGAAGAAGGCCUUCGGGUUGUAAAGCUCUUUUGUCAGGGAAGAAACGGUGAGAGCUAAUAUCUCUUGCUAAUGACGGUACCUGAAGAAUAAGCACCGGCUAACUACGUGCCAGCAGCCGCGGUAAUACGUAGGGUGCAAGCGUUAAUCGGAAUUACUGGGCGUAAAGCGUGCGCAGGCGGUUUUGUAAGUCUGAUGUGAAAUCCCCGGGCUCAACCUGGGAAUUGCAUUGGAGACUGCAAGGCUAGAAUCUGGCAGAGGGGGGUAGAAUUCCACGUGUAGCAGUGAAAUGCGUAGAUAUGUGGAGGAACACCGAUGGCGAAGGCAGCCCCCUGGGUCAAGAUUGACGCUCAUGCACGAAAGCGUGGGGAGCAAACAGGAUUAGAUACCCCGGUAGUCCC
rnacentral:rRNA from 1 species